rnacentral:rRNA from 1 species
UACGAGGGAUGCAAGCGUUAUCCGGAAUUAUUGGGCGUAAAGCGUUUGUAGGCGGGCGAGUGUGUUUAAUGUUAAAUCUUAAAGCUCAACUUUGAAAUUGCGUUAAAAACUGCUUGUCUUGAGUAUGGUAGGGGUAAAGGGAAUUCCCAGUGUAGCGGUGAAAUGCGUAGAUAUUGGGAAGAACACUAAACAGCGAAGGCACUUUACUAGGCUAAUACUGACGCUGAGAAACGAAAGGUAAGGUAGCGAAACGGAUUAGAUACCCGUGUAGUCUUACCCGUAAACUAUGGACACUAAACGGUAAAUUUUUAAUUUACUGUUAAAGCUAACGCGUUAAGUGUCCCGCCUGGGGAGUAUGCUUGCAAAAGUGAAACUCAAAGGAAUUGACGGGGGCCCGCACAAGCGGUGGAGCAUGUGGUUUAAUUCGACGGUACACGAAGAACCUUACCAGGAUUUGACAUGCUAGAUAGUUGCUUGAAAGAGUAACGUGCCGUAAGGAAUCUAGACACAGGUGGUGCAUGGCUGUCGUCAGUUCGUGUUGUGAAAUGUUGGGUUAAGUCCCGCAACGAACGCAACCCUUGUCUUUAGUUAUUUUCUAAAGAGACUGCCUGUAAUAAACAGGAGGAAGGUAAGGAUGAGGUCAAGUCAUCAUGCCCCUUAUGUCCUGGGCUACACACGUGCUACAAUGGGAAAGACAAUGAGCUGCAAAUCUGUAAAUUUAAGCAAAUCUCUUAAACUUUCUCGUAGUUCGGAUUGUGGGCUGCAACUCGCCCACAUGAAGUUGGAAUCGCUAGUAAUCGCCAGUCAGCUAUAU